GACGAACGCUGGCGGCGUGCUUAACACAUGCAAGUCGAACGGAAAGGCCCCCAUCUUGGUGGGGGUGCUCGAGUGGCGAACGGGUGAGUAACACGUGGGUGAUCUGCCCUGUACUUCGGGAUAAGCUUGGGAAACUGGGUCUAAUACCGGAUAGGACCAUGGUUUAGUGUCUCAUGGUGGAAAGAUUAUUGUUUUGGUGCAGGAUGAGCUCGCGGCCUAUCAGCUUGUUGGUGGGGUAAUGGCCUACCAAGGCGUCGACGGGUAGCCGGCCUGAGAGGGUGGACGGCCACAGUGGGACUGAGAUACGGCCCAGACUCCUACGGGAGGCAGCAGUGGGGAAUAUUGCGCAAUGGGCGCAAGCCUGAUGCAGCGACGCCGCGUGGGGGAUGACGGCCUUCGGGCUGUAAACUCCUUUCGUUAGGGACGAAGCCGCACUUUUUUUGGGUGUGGUGACGGUACCUUUGUUAAGAAGCACCGGCUAACUACGUG
rnacentral:rRNA from 1 species